rnacentral:rRNA from 1 species
AAGGCAGAAUAGGGUUCCCUAGCCUGCCUCCCGCUUUUACCUCUUAGGUGGUUGGGUUGGUUCAACGCGGGGCGGACGGACUUUACCUAAGUGGUCAGCGUCGUCGCCAGGUAAAGCCGCAGACCGCGUCAGUUGGCGAGCCCAGCAGGUGGGUGCGGAGGCGGAGGUGGAGGGAGGUGAGCGCGUGACCGCCGCGGCCGCCAACGCGUCCGACUGACGAAGGAAGCCUUCCUUAGGAAGGGGUCCGCGCCACGCCGCCGACCGGUCCGACUAACCAUCGACGGGGAGAGGGGCACGCACAUACGAACGAUCGGCUCGCUCGCUCGCUCGCUUGCUCGCUUCUCUCGCGGAAUGGGAGGGCCCGCUUGCCGGUCUCAGGAAGGGCUCCCGCCGUCGAUCCCAAGGAUCGGCGGCAGCCGGGAGGCGCCGCCGCGCGGGUCGGCGGCCAUGUCCUCGAUGCGGCCGCUGGUCAGGCAUCCGUCCAUCGGCUACCUAACGACGAUGACAAUAAUUACACACGUAUAAAAGAUCGACCCGUUGAAGAGUAUUCCUUCAGUUAACCAUGAUGUCACUGAUAUAUUCCUUUCUACCUCGACUAGCCGUAGUAAUACAACCGUAAAGACGAGAGUAAACGUCGCAGACUAGCGGUUCCACUACGUAAUAUACUAUACUUCGACUUCGACUUGCGAUGAUCGUGUGUCGAAUGUCUGACCUUAGUUUUAGUUCAAUUGGGAACGUGAACCUUAAGACAAUAAACACUGUCAUUGUUAUUACAACACGUUCAUUGUAACCGAAGAUACCCCAAGUGACCUCAAGACAGCGGUUCUUAACCUCUGGAGCUCGUAAACUUACAAGACAGGAACGGACCAUUGUUCUAAUGGCCACCGUAUGGGCUCGUCGAACCGUUGGAUAGAUCAAACUGUUCGAAUCUAAACCUUCUUUUAGAUGACCAACCUCUUUAGGGUCGAAGAGAACCGGUAGAAAGCUUCGAGGUUGAGAACUAUGAUUCAGUUUUGUCUGAUUCACCUUGACAAGGAUUAUGUGACCGUUGUUAGAGUUCGAACUGUCUGUAAGCCAACCGGAUGUUAUUAGAGAGGCCAGGUUAUGGACGAGUUGAUAAAGUUCAACGUGCAAUGUUGAAAAGACCGUUAUUGAACUGAACACCUCGUUUGAAGCGAGUAGGAACACGUAGUUCAAGCGGAAUGGUUCCAAGUAGAGCACCAAGCUUUUAUCCGCAACAGGAACCUUGUCAACCACCUCACUAUCCCGACGAGUAAUAUCCCCGAGACAAAUAAUAGACAUUACCUUCCUCUUUUCCAGUAGACGCACUUCAAAAACACCUACAUAGUCCACUCCUACUGGCUUCUUAACGUAAACCCGUCAACUUUUCCAAACGUACCGCUCUUAAUGUUGAGCGAUGACUAUUGAAGUCACUCUUUUUACAAGAACCUGUUCCCCCGAAACCUUUUCAUAUAUUUCCUCGUGAAGGUCUACCGUGAUUCUAUCGGCAUUUCGCCAAUUGACUAAUACUUUCAGGACCACCCCUCCGACGGAAGGACGCACUUCAACUCGACUAAUCACAACGUCAAGUGGCCUUAGAAAAUUCUAACUAACCCAAGACAUGUUGUGUUUGUCUUGCAGAUGAACAAAUAGGAAAGUACGUCUUAGAAUCGCAUCGGAUGGCUAACGCUCUUAAAUUUGGACCCCUUGGUUAUAAUCUAACCUUGCGUUCCUUUGCUCACCGAUAUCCGUGUCGCGCGCCUGACCUCAUGGACGUGCUCGUGACGUUAGGAUUCUAGUAUGUGGCACUACAGUUCCGGCGCUUACAGAACGAACUACUUCCAAAGCUUGGUCAACAACCGCUGAAGCCGAACCGUUUCAACCACCUACAUGUCUUCUGUAGACACUGGUGAGUUCAGGCUCCCUGAUACCCAGUGUAACGUGGUCUUAUAAACAGGUGUCCCUUCAGUAGACUCUCUUGUCUACAAAAGCCGAUACCAUAUUACGAAGAACUUCACCAGUGGCCCGUCGCGCGGUAACUGAAAAGUGCAAACCUCCUUCUUCUACUGCACAAUAAUGAACUAGUACAGUUCUUCGAUGUUUCUCUUCCCUUAGAUCUGCGGUAGCACCUGGCGUUGGACUUGUUGUCGAAGCUGUCCGUCCUCCACCUCUACUACUACGUCUAGCGCGACGACACGUGGGUCCCCAGCGGGCUCCUGGCCGGGAGGUACAGCCUCCACCAUUCCUACGACCUUCCCCUUCCGGACCGCCUCGCCACCCUCCUCACCGUCGUCCAGCUCCACUGCUCCUCCCUCCUGAUGCUCGCCUACGUCGUCGCUAAGCUGACCCCGCUCCUGAGGUAGAUGUUGGUCCUGCGGUAACUUGACAGGCGGCCGUCUAUCCCCACGGUCUGACGAGACGAGCGACAUCCAUUAUUACGGUAAGAAGCAUCGUCUUAACCAGCCUCAGAACAUAUAACACUAUAACAGCAUUCAUUUUUUUUUCUCUCAUCUCAACCGAACGUUACUUUCAAUUUUGUAAAUAUUGAGGGUAGACGAACCGCUUCGGUUCGGCAUGACAAGCCACGUCGUGCACGAAUGACAUACAUUUAGCUAAACAAAACGUAUCGGUAGACGACUUGGAAGUACGCAGCGGGGUAUUCAGGUAUACCUCAACCAACACGACGGCGCGUAGAACGAAACGAGGUACCGGCACGUGUGGAUGUCCGAUGUCGUCGUGAUUAAAAGCAUGAGGUAGGCAGUAUAUUAUAUUCUGCAAAAAACUGUGAUACCUGCCUCCCUCAUGAACCUUUUGUUCUACCACUCUACGUCGACACCGAUAGAAACGA